AUUGAACGCUGGCGGCAGGCCUAACACAUGCAAGUCGAACGAGUGGCGGACGGGUGAGUAAUGUCUGGGAAACUGCCUGAUGGAGGGGGAUAACUACUGGAAACGGUAGCUAAUACCGCAUACAAUCAGAUGUGCCCAGAUGGGAUUAGCUUGUUGGUGGGGUAACGGCUCACAAAGGCGACGCGCCCUAGCUGGUCUGAGAGGAUGACCAGCUAACCGGGAACUGCAACACGGUCCCGACGCCUAGGGGAGGCAGCAGGGGGGAAGUUUGAACAAUGGGCGCAAUCCUGAUGCAGCCUUGCCGCGGGGAUGAAGAAGGCCUUCGGGUUGUAAAGUACUUUCAGCGGGGAGGCGUUACCCGCAGAAGAAGCACCGGCUAACUCCGUGCCAGCAGCCGGGUAAUAC
rnacentral:rRNA from 1 species